CCCUAGCCCGGAUAGUCCCGAAGUUUCGGGAGAAAUCCUUUUACUUUUUCUUUAAAAAGUAAAAGAUUGCAACGGAUAGCCGGAUUAGCA
rnacentral:sRNA from 1 species